CUAGCUCCGAUUGUUCAAUUUGAAAGCAUACCGGUGAUGCGCGUAAGAUGUGGACUGAGUUAGUAGCUAUUAUACAUGAUUAUGUAUGUCUCUUGUACUUUUUUUUUAUCACAAAAGAAAUAUUUCAUUACCGACAAGAUCUUGAGAAACACAUACAUGGAGAGUCUAAACAAAGAAGAGCCCAUAGGGCUUGAGGAGGGGCAACAAGCCAAUUUUGUGGAAGACGACCUAAUCUUUGCAAUUUCAUAGCCCAAUCAGCCACUAAGUUGGAUUCCCUCGGAUAGUGGGAUAGAUUAAUGUGCAGGUGGGCCGAAAUAAGCUCCAAACAAUCUAAGAAAGCAGCCGCUCUUCCCAGUUAAACUGAUCUGCAGACUUACUUAUCAGGGCAUUAAUCAAAUCUACACGGUCGGACUCCACACAGAAGCACACGGACUGGUCUUCGCUCGACGCUAUGAAUUGGAGAGCUUCAUGGACAUCUAGGGUUUCCACCUGUGCUGCUGACGAUGCCUUCAUUGAUUUUGCGAAACUUGCGACGAUGUUGCCCAUAUGAUCUCUAUAGAUACCAGCGAUAGCACCGUCAACGGAUCCCUCGACGAAGGACUGAUCCACAUUGAAUUUUAGUGAUUUGUCUUCCGGUGGGAUCCAAGAUAGUGGAAUGGUGAAAGAUGACUCCUUUUCUAUUUUUGACUUUUGGGUGUUCCUUUUCCUAAAGUUAGCUAGCAAAAACUUGGCUGAUUCCACUGUUUCUUGGACAUCUGGAGGUUUACCACGAAAAACAGAGUUAUUGCAAGAUUUCCAAAUACUCCAGAGGAUCGACCCCACCGAUGAAAGCUGAGCUAAGGUGUGCCCAAACAAACUGUGUCCAUGGACAAAGCAGAAAAAUAUAUUCAACCGUUUCCUCCCCUUGCCAGCAUAGAGAACAAAAAAGGUCAGGUAUUAUCUUUCUCUUCCAGAGAUUUUCCUUCGAAGGAAUAGCAUUAGUGCAUAGGGACCAAAGGAAAAUUUUAACUUUUGAGUAAAUCUGCGUGUCCCAUAUAGCUCGCCAAAGUGAAUUAGGAAUUUGGUAGGAAGAUGAUGCUUGUUCGCUACUCUGAUUCUGUUCAAUAACAUCUCCGAGCAUAUUAUAACCAUUCUUAACUGUAUAACAACCUAAUUUAGUCCCUAUCCACACUAACUUAUCUUGAGCAAUGAUGGUUCUGACUUGAAUUGUAAGAAUCUCCUAUACUAGCUGAUCAUCAAAAAGUUCUUGUAGCUUUUGGAGAUUCCAUUUUCCUUCUUCAACUGAAAUCAAUUCUGAAACCCUUACUGGAUCGUUCUUAUUUGCUGGUCCCCCUAUUGGUCGUCUCGUACUUCCUAUGCACGUCCCUAAGUGGGUGUUUUCUUUAUCUUGGGUCCUACAUUCCCACGGUUAUUGAUGGUGAGCGACGACUGAGAGACAAUGGCCGAUGGUCCUAACAAGGCAGUGGAUGACAGGGGUGGUCAAUGGCCGGAGGUGGUUGAUGGUAGAAGUCCGAUGGCGAAGGCGGUAGACCACGUCUAAAACUUAGCGUUUUGGUAGGUGGAUCGUUGAUUGGUUUAGUGUUCUAGGUACUAUGAGAGGACAAGAGUGUAUCAGUGCGGUGAAGAGGACGAUGGUGGGAUGGCUAAAGUGAACAAAGAGCACUUACAAUUUGGUUUUGAUUUAGGUAAAGUGAGUUUGGGCUAAUUUUGCUUUUAAGGAAUCUGGGCUUGAUGAAUUGGUUUUAUUUUGAUGGAGAGGGGUUGGGUUUAGCAUGGUUUUUGCUAGCAGGGUCACGAUUGGAGGUCCCGUGGAUAGGUAAACAGCGAGGUAGAGUCACGAUUGCUAAUAUGCUUGGAGGGAGCAGAAGAUAGAAGCUAGAGUGAAGUUGAUAUACUUUGCUAAUAUCAAAGAAUCUACGUCACUAUCAUACUUGAAGCGUCUUGCGAAUAACAAUUAACCGAGGAAGCUAGAUUUAUCAACUGAGUGGAUAUCAGCAGCGUACUGCUUGUAUAUAAGCAGUGUACUGUGUGGAUAUCAGCAACCUGCUGCGUAGGAUAUAGGCAGUGUUCUAAGUGGAUAUCAGCAGUGUAUACGCUGAAUAUCAACAAUGUAUGGGAGAGCUUAUUAUAAUCGGUGACUGUGGAUAUAAGCGGAACACUUAUGCAACUCGACAACUUUGUCACGUGAUCUUAUUAUUUUAUCCCGAGAUAAAAUACCUUACAUUUAGCAGCUAGUAAUAUGGUAUGAAUUCCUAAUAUGGAAGGAAAUGAUUGAUUGAUAAUCAUGCCAAAGGCAGAAGAUAUUCUGCAAGUGGAAGCCACUUUAUUUUUGGAAGCCAAAUAUUUGAUUGUAUGGCCGACCAAAUCUACGAGAACUCAUAUUGAUUGCCUCCAAUGGCUAAAUUGAUCCUAUAAUCAAUUGUCCAAUGGAUAGAUUGGAGAUUGAUCCUUGUGAAGAUUUUCCGACGAGUAGUUUGGAUGACGAGGAGUAUAUAAGAAGAUCAAAGACGCCGGGAAGAGUACAAGAUAUGUUGAGUGCAAAAUCCAAAUUUAGAGAGUGCUUUAUAUUCUUACAUCUUCUCUUUUGAGCAUACUGAUAUUGUAAUCUUUUAAGAGAUGUUGGCAGUGUUUUAAAUGCGUGCUUAAGUUAAGAUAGCUUAAAUAUAAGUAGCACUUGCUUUGUGAAGAAGCGCUUGGGUAUAAGUAGGCACAUACAGUUGUAAUCGCUCAUUGAUUGCUAGUGGAAUCUAGCCAGUAGGCUGUUAGCAUAGAAGAGUGGAUGUAGGCUUACAUUAAGCCAAGCCAAUAUAAAGCUCCGUUUGCAAGGUCUUCUAUCUCUCUUCUCAUAU